rnacentral:rRNA from 1 species
CGGGUGAGUAACGCGUAUCCAACUUCCCUAUAGUAGAGAAUAGCCCGGCGAAAGUCGGAUUAAUGCUCUAUGUUGUGUUUUGAGGACAUCUGACGAACACCAAAGGUUCACCGCUAUAGGAUGGGGAUGCGUCUGAUUAGCUUGUUGGCGGGGUAACGGCCCACCAAGGCGACGAUCAGUAGGGGUUCUGAGAGGAAGGUCCCCCACAUUGGUACUGAGACACGGACCAAACUCCUACGGGAGGCAGCAGGUGAGGAAUAUUGGUCAAUGGGCGAGAGCCUGAACCAGCCAAGUAGCGUGCAGGAUGACUGCCCUAUGGGUUGUAAACUGCUUUUAUCAGGGAAUAAAGUGCGGCACGUGUGCCGUUUUGUAUGUACCUGAUGAAUAAGGACCGGCUAAUUCCGUGCCAGCAGCGGC